AAUGAACGUUGGCGGCGUGGAUUAGGCAUGCGAGUCGUGCGAGAAUCGUAGCAAUACGAGGACAGCGGCGAAAGGGAGAGGACAACGUGAGAAUCUGCCCUCGGAUCGGGGAUAGCGGCGGGAAACUGCCGGUAAUACCCGAUAACGUCUUUGGACCAAAGGUGUGAUUCCGUCCGAGGAUGAACUCACGUCCUAUUAGCUUGUUGGCGGGGUAAUGGCCCACCAAGGCAAUGAUGGGUAGCUGGUGUGAGAGCAUGACCAGCCUCAUUGGCACUGAGACACUGGCCAGACACCUACGGGUGGCUGCAGUCGAGAAUCUUCGGCAAUGGACGAAAGUCUGACCGAGCGACGCCGCGUGCGGGAUGAAGGCCCUUGGGUUGUAAACCGCUGUCGUAGAGGAGCAAAUGUAUUUGGGUACUCCCUUAUACUUGAGCGAUUCUAGGAGGAAGGAGAGGCUAAGCUCGUGCCAGCAGCCGCGGUAAGACGAGCUCUCCAAACGU
rnacentral:rRNA from 1 species